ACCAUACGUGUCACCAAUUUGUUGGACAAACCGAUUAAUUAAUGUGUUCUCAAAUUAUUUUUGAGGGUCGAAUGAUUUUAUUUCUUUCUCUCCCUCUCUCUGUUUCUCUCUCGAUCGAACUCGCGAAUUCACAAUGGAAGGAGAUGGAAUCAGAUGAGAUUCAGGUCGGAGGAGAUGCGAAUCGGCGGAGGCAACCUUAGAGGUUUGGGUGGUGUUCCGGUUACUUCCGAUCGCUUCUAUAAUGCUGGAUGGACAGGGGAUAUACGGGUAGUUCUUGGUUAUCUUCAACAAAAAUACCUGAAGGCUCCUCCUCUCUUUGCUAUUGGAACUAGCAUUGGAGCAAAUGUUCUGGUUAAAUACCUUGGGGAAGAGGGAUGAAAAGACUCCUCUGAGGGGUGUUGUAGCUAUUUGCUCUCCAUGGGACCUCUUGGCAUGAACCUCAGUAUUCACGGCUUGCUAAUUGGGAAGGCAUCAAAAAGGGCAAACAAAAACAUUGUCUUUUACAACAAAUGACGGGGGACAUCUAGCGUUCUUCGAAGGAUUAAAUGGAUCUAUGUACUUCCCUUUACUAAGUACUGCCUACAUCUGUUGUGUACAGGUGGGUUCGAGCCACCAAUGAGUUUCUUGGCGCCCUUAGCUGCAGUCGUUAUAUGCAUAUACAGAAAAUUCAAGAGAAAAGAAGCUCAGAGUCAUCAGGGAAACAAGAGCCUUUGAUAAACCAAGGCCCGUACCUAAACAUUGCAGAAGACGGGUUGGUGGCAGCAGUCAAAUACGAGAAAGACACCACUACCACCACCGAAGCAGAGAGGACGAAAGCCUGAGGAAGAUGUAACAAAGAGAAGCUUUAAGGAACUGUGUCGGCAGACGUCACGGCCCAUAUGGUUGCUUGGUUACAGGAAAAAGAAAAGAAACUGGAAAAAAACAAAAAAGAAGAGGAAGGUUGAGUUUCUUUCCACGAGACGUCUUCCACGCACGCACGUUUUAUCACGAAUUUGUCAAUCUUGAGUCUUCAGAACACGCGCGGUUCUCACGCGCCUCUCAUUCUUGAAUAUUUUCCACACGCGCCGCCUCGUCUCCUCCUCUAACUUCAUCUUCCUCUAAUAUCGCCGCCGCUGCAGUUCUUCGCGUCUCUCUCCUUCUAAUCCUUUCCUCCGCCGCAUUGGCUAAAUCAAAUUAAAAUAAGUAAAUAAUAUAAAAACUAUAAAAAUUAUUUACUUAUUUUAAUUUUAAG